rnacentral:rRNA from 1 species
CUGUCGAGGCUACCAUGCAAGUCGAGCGGAUGACGGGAGCUUGCUCCUUGAUUCAGCGGCGGACGGGUGAGUAAUGCCUAGGAAUCUGCCUGGUAGUGGGGGACAACGUUUCGAAAGGAACGCUAAUACCGCAUACGUCCUACGGGAGAAAGCAGGGGACCUUCGGGCCUUGCGCUAUCAGAUGAGCCUAGGUCGGAUUAGCUAGUUGGUGGGGUAAUGGCUCACCAAGGCGACGAUCCGUAACUGGUCUGAGAGGAUGAUCAGUCACACUGGAACUGAGACACGGUCCAGACUCCUACGGGAGGCAGCAGUGGGGAAUAUUGGACAAUGGGCGAAAGCCUGAUCCAGCCAUGCCGCGUGUGUGAAGAAGGUCUUCGGAUUGUAAAGCACUUUAAGUUGGGAGGAAGGGCAGUAAGCUAAUACCUUGCUGUUUUGACGUUACCGACAGAAUAAGCACCGGCUAACUCUGUGCCAGCAGCCGCGGUAAUACAGAGGGUGCAAGCGUUAAUCGGAAUUACUGGGCGUAAAGCGCGCGUAGGUGGUUCGUUAAGUUGGAUGUGAAAGCCCCGGGCUCAACCUGGGAACUGCAUCCAAAACUGGCGAGCUAGAGUACGGUAGAGGGUGGUGGAAUUUCCUGUGUAGCGGUGAAAUGCGUAGAUAUAGGAAGGAACACCAGUGGCGAAGGCGACCACCUGGACUGAUACUGACACUGAGGUGCGAAAGCGUGGGGAGCAAACAGGAUUAGAUACCCUGGUAGUCCACGCCGUAAACGAUGUCAACUAGCCGUUGGAAUCCUUGAGAUUUUAGUGGCGCAGCUAACGCAUUAAGUUGACCGCCUGGGGAGUACGGCCGCAAGGUUAAAACUCAAAUGAAUUGACGGGGGCCCGCACAAGCGGUGGAACAUGUGGUUAAUUCGAAGCACGCGAAGACCUUACAGGCCUUGACUGCAAAGACUUUCCGAGAGGAUUGGUGCUUCGGGACUCUGACCAAGGGCUGCUGGCUGUCUCCACUCGGGCCUGAGAUGUGGGUUAGUCCCGAACAACGCACCCUUGCCUUAU